UACGAAGGGGGCUAGCGUUGCUCGGAAUUACUGGGCGUAAAGCGCACGUAGGCGGGUUCUUAAGUCGGUGGUGAAAUCCUGGAGCUCAACUCCAGAACUGCCUUCGAAACUGGGAAUCUUGAGUCCGGGAGAGGUGAGUGGAACUGCGAGUGUAGAGGUGAAAUUCGUAGAUAUUCGCAAGAACACCAGUGGCGAAGGCG
rnacentral:rRNA from 1 species